rnacentral:lncRNA from 10 species
AAUUUAACUAAGUUUUCACAUAUUAAUAAGUGUGUCACAUAUAGACUCAUUAUUAGCUGUAAAAAGAAAUUGAGUUUGUUUUACUUAAUGUAAACUUCAAUUAAAACACAUACACUAUUAAACGUGCACUAUUAAAUUGCUUGCUUUCUCAUCAAAAAAAAAGACAGUGUAUAUCCAGCCAUAAAUAACAUAUUUACUGAAAAUAUAUUGCAAGAAUUUAGAUAGAAUGCUACGUAAAGAAAUAAAUGGCUCAUGUUUAAGACAUCCCAAAGUGCUUACCUUAUAAAGAAUUGAGUCACAAACACAGAAAAUAUCAAUGAUAACAGGAUUUUCGAGCAGGGGAAGGAGAUGGUCAGGCAUUCCUUGCCAAAAGUGUAAUAAAAAAUGCUGGAUCUAGUUGCAGAGUAAAAAGUAUGUUAAGAUUUUUUUCUUUAACAUGAACUCAUUAAGAACAGAACAUGAAAGUAUAUAUAAUAGGGUCAAAUAAAGCAUUCUUUGUCAUUCUUACCUCUUCAAAGUUUCCAUUAAUUGCAUUGUCCAGGAUACACUGGCAGUGAGUUUUGUACAUCAUUAUGAGCGUAUCAACCUAUUUCAAGGAAGAAAAAGCUUAACCAAAGCAUCCUUUUAACACUGCCUUUUCUUGUUAAUUUGUUCAACACAGAUUUUUUAAAAGAUCCUAUUACGUACCAAGCAGUAUGCUCAAUGUUGAGGACUCAAAAAUUAAGGCAAAAUUCUUAUUUCAAGGAUCUUACUGCCUUGUGAAGGGAGAAAAGCAAACAAAUGGACAACUACAGUAUAAUAUGAAAAAGUUUUAUGAAGUGGAUGCUUGGAGCAGUAUGGCAUAAUGGUUUCAAAUUUUGUCUCUGGAGUCAGCUCAACUUGGGUGCCCACCUUCACUGCACUACUUACCAGGUAUGAACUUCCUUGGAGGCCAGCAGAGAAACAUGAAAUUCCCAGCAAACUAUUGAGGAAUCCUCACAAACUGCCACAUGUUAACAUUUACUGGGGGAUUCUCAAAUAUAAAGUCAUCAUAUCACACAUUACAUCUAUAAGGUAAAAAUUAUGUGAUAACCUUGAGAAAUGUAAUGGGAGAGAACAGUCAGAAGUGAACAUAGUUUGAGAGACUCCCUUGGAUUUGGCAUUUGAGAAUUAUCUUCAUUUGCCUCUUCUUUUUUUUAAGGGUAUAUUUUACUUUUUUUUUUCCAACUUGUAUUUUAGAUUUAGAGGGUACAUAUGCAUGUUUGUUACGUAAGUAUACCAAGAGAUGCUGAGGUUUGGAAUACGAAUGAUCCAAUUACCCAGAUACUGAGCGUAGUACCCAAUAGUUAGUUUUUCAACCCAUUUCCCUCUUCCCCCUUCCCCAGCAGUAGUCUCCAGUGUCUACUGUUGCCAUUUUAUGACUAGAAAUACCCAGUGUUUAGCUCUCACUUAUAAGUGAGAACAUGUAGUAUUUAGUUUUCUUCUCCUGCAUUAAUUUGCUUAUGUUAAUGGCCUCCAGCUGCAUCCAUGUUGCUGCAAAAGACAUGUUUUCAUUCUUUCUAAAGAAUACUUUGCCUAUUCUUAACUAACAGAGUAUGGCUGUCAUCAAAAUGAGCCCUGUAAGUUACUAUGCAUCUCUACUUAUAUGCCAAUAAAUUUUUUUUAAAUCAAUGUGCUAUCUUUACCUCAUUUCUACAAAAAGCCCAUUACUAAAGUAAAGCAUCUGGACAUUAAUCAUAUUCCUCUAUCUUUGUACCUCAGAAAUACGAACUAACUCAAUAUACUGUAAGAGAUGUCUUCUUCAAAUGCUAAUGAAACAUGUACUUUGGUUGAAACAAAAAUGUAGAAAUAAUUAUGCUCUAAUUUAAUAAUGGUCUCUGCUACUAAACAGCCAACAGAUCCCCGACAAAUGACUUUAGAAGUACAGAAAUCGAAGAUAUAGUUUACACGCUAUUACAUAAACAUUGAAAAGUCAUAUUGAGAAUUAUUUAUAAACUGAAUCCCAAUGAAAAUGAUUCUUUCUUAACUUUAAAAAAUGCAAAUAUAAGAGAA